rnacentral:rRNA from 1 species
GCGCGAAAACUCUACAAUGCAGGCAACUGCGAUAGGGGAACAUCGAGUGGCAUCCACCAUGGAUGUCUGUCCAAUCGUCUAAAAAACGAUUGUCAGCAAGGGCCGGGCAAGACCGGUGCCAGCCGCCGCGGUAAUACCGGCGGCUCGAGUGGUGGCCGAUAUUAUUGAGUCUAAAGGGUCCGUAGCCGGCUUUGCAAGUCCUAUGGGAAAUCCAGCGGCUUAACCGUUGGGCUUUCAUGGGAUACUACAUUGCUUGGGACUGGGAGAGGUAGGAGGUACUCAGGGGGUAGGGGUGAAAUCCUGUAAUCCUUUGGGGACCACCGGUGGCGAAGGCGUCCUACCAGAACAGGUCCGACGGUGAGGGACGAAAGCUAGGGGCACGAACC